CAGCAGCCGCGGUAAUACGUAGGGUGCGAGCGUUAAUCGGAUUUACUGGGCGUAAAGCGUGCGCAGGCGGCCCGUUAAGACAGGUGUGAAAUCCCUGGGCUCAACCUAGGAAUUGCGCUUGUGACUGGCGGGCUCGAGUACGGUAGAGGGGGGUGGAAUUCCUGGUGUAGCAGUGAAAUGCGUAGAGAUCAGGAGGAACACCGAUGGCGAAGGCAGCCCCCUGGGCCUGUACUGACGCUCAUGCACGAAAGCGUGGGGAGCAAACAGGAUUAGAUACCCGGGUAGUCCACGCCCUAAACGAUGGGUACUAGCCGUUUGGUGCGCGAUAGCGCUGAGUGGCGAAGCUAACGCGUGAAGUACCCCGCCUGGGGAGUACGGCCGCAAGGUUGAAAUUUAAAGGAAUUGGCGGG
rnacentral:rRNA from 1 species